AUUGAACGCUGGCGGAAUGCUUUACACAUGCAAGUCGAACGGUAGAGGGGGCAACCCCUCGAGAGUGGCGAACGGGUGAGUAAUAUAUCGGAACGUGCCCAGUCGUGGGGGAUAACGUAGCGAAAGUUACGCUAAUACCGCAUACGAUCUACGGAUGAAAGCGGGGGAUCGCAAGACCUCGCGCGAUUGGAGCGGCCGAUAUCAGAUUAGGUAGUUGGUGGGGUAAAGGCUCACCAAGCCAACGAUCUGUAGCUGGUCUGAGAGGACGACCAGCCACACUGGGACUGAGACACGGCCCAGACUCCUACGGGAGGCAGCAGUGGGGAAUUUUGGACAAUGGGCGAAAGCCUGAUCCAGCCAUGCCGCGUGAGUGAAGAAGGCCUCGGUGUAAGCUCUUCGCUGGAGAA
rnacentral:rRNA from 1 species